GACGAACCGUGCGAACGUUGUUCGGAAUCACUGGGCUUAAAGGGCGCGUAGGCGGCUUGUCAAGUCAGGGGUGAAAUCUUUCGGCUCAACCGGAAAAGUGCCUUUGAUACUGACAGGCUCGAGGGAGUAGGGGCAUGUGGAACUUCUGGUGGAGCGGUGAAAUGCGUUGAUAUCAGAAGGAACGCCGGUGGCGAAAGCGACGUGCUGGACUUCUUCUGACGCUGAGGCGCGAAAGCUAGGGGAGCAAACGGG
rnacentral:rRNA from 1 species